ensembl:lncRNA
CCUUUAUUGGUCCUUUAUUGGGGUUUUUGUGCUGACCCAAAAAUGGGCGAAUUGGACCCAAAAGUUGUGUUGGGGGGGGAGGGUGGGGGGGGAGGCAGGAAACGGGGUGAAUAUGGGGGAUUUUGGGGGGGGGCUUUGAAGUUUUGAGGUGAAAACGGGGGAUUUGGGGGGUGAAAACGGAGGAUUUGGGGGGACUUCGAAAUUUUGGGGUGAAAACGGGGGAUUUUUGGAGGGUCUUCGAAAUUUUGGGGCAGAAAUGGGGGAUUUUGGGGGGUCUUGGAAAUUUUGGGGUGAAAAUGGGGGAUUUUGGGGGGGUCUUUGAAAUUUGGGGAUGAAAGUGGGGGAUUUUGGGAGUGUUGGAAAUUUUGGGGUGAAAACGGGGGCUUUUGGGGUGAAAAUGGGGGAUUUUGGGAGUGUUGGAAAUUUUGGGGUGAAAAUGGAGGAUUUUCAGGGGUCUUUGAAGUUUUGGCAUGAAAACGGAGGAUUUUGGGGUGAAAUCGGGGGAUUUUGGGGUCUUGGAAAUUUUGGGGUGAAAAUGGGGGAUUUUUGAGGGGGUUCUUCGACAUUUUGAGGUGAAAACGGGGGAUUUGGGGGUGAAAAUGAGGGAUUUGGGGUCUUGGAAAUUUUGGGGUGAAAAUGGGGGAUUUUUGGAGGGUCUUCGAAAUUUUGGGGCAGAAAUGGGGGAUUUUGGGGGAGGGGCUUCGAAAUUUUAAGGUGAAAAAAGGAUUUUGGGGGUGAAAAUGGAGAUUUGGGGGGGGGUCUUUGCAGUUUUGGGGCGAAAAUGGGGGGUUUUGGGGGUGAAAAUGGGGGAUUUUGAGGGGGAGUUUUUGAAGUUUCGGGGUGAAAACGGCAGAUUUUGGGGGUGAAAAUGGGGUAUUUUGGGGUCUCUUUGCAGUUUUGGGGUGCGUGUAUUGCUUUUUGUUGCCUUCAGCAUUUUGGGGUGAAUCCGGAAGAUUUUGGGGUUCUUCGGCGUUUUGGGGUGAAUCUCCCGGAUUUUGGGGUCCGUCCAUUUGGGGUUGAAUCUCCAAAAAUCUCCCCCAGUUUUGUGUCUCCCACCAUUUUGGGGAUCCCGCAGUAUUUUGGGGUGAAAAUUCGGGAUUUUGGGGUCCUUUGCAAUUUCGGGGUGGAUUUCAAGAGUUUUGGGGUUCCUCGGCAUUCUGGGGUAAAUUCGGGAUAUUUGAGGGGGGGGGAUCCCCAAUAUUUUGGGGGCGUAUCUGCAGGAUUUUAGGGUUCCUCAGCAUUUUGGGGUAAAUCCGCGGGAUUUUGGGGUUCCCCCAAUAUUUGAAGGACGUAUCUUCAAAACCGCGGGGGGUGCUCAGAUUUUGGGGUCAAUUAAAAGGAUUUGGGGUCCCCCCUAAAUUUUUAGAGCGCAUCUGCAGGAUUUUGGGGGGUCCUCGGCAUUUUGGGGUGGAUCUCGAGGAUUUGGGGGUUCCUCGGCAUUUUUGGGAUAAAUUCAGAGGAUUUUGGGGUGCCCCGACAUAUGGGGGUCGUCGUUAUUUUGGGGUCAAUCCCCCAGGUUUUGGGGUCUGCCCAUUUGGGGCCGAACCUCCAAAACUCUCCCCAGAUUUUGGGGGUGUCCCACCAUUUUGGGGCGAACCCCCCGGAUUUUGGGGGGUCCUGUAGGAUUUUCAGGUGAAAAUUCAGGAUUUUGGGGUCCAUCGGGAUUUUGAGGCGAAUUCGGAGGAUUUUGGGGGUGUGUCGUCUGCAUUUUGGGGGGGGGGGUCCGCAGAUUUUGGGGUGAAUGCGGAGGAUUUUGGGAAUCCCCCAACAUUUUUGGAGUGUACGCUGAAGAUUUUGAGGGGCGCUCAGCAUUUUGGGGCUGAAUUUGGGGGGUCUUCUCAGCAUUUUUGGGGUGAAUUUGGAGGAUUUUGGGGCUCCCCAACAUUUUGAGGCGUAUCUUCGGAAUUUCGUGGGGGGGGGUCGUCAGAUUUUGGGGUGAAUCGAUGACAUUUCGGCUCUUUCCACACCAUUUUCAGGUCCAUUUCCAACGGUUUUUUUUUGGGGUCCCCCCACCCUUCUGGGGUGAAUUUCCAGGAUUUUGGGUUCCUUCAUGAUUUCGGGGUGACUUUCCAUUAUUUUGGGGGGGGGGGGGCAAAGCUCUGAAAUGUUUGACCCUGUUUCCUUUUGGAGUGAAUCCACACCAUUUUGGGGCUUCUCCUGGAUUUUGGGGCGGAUUUGGAAGGUUUUGGGGUCUCCUCCAUUUUGGGGUGAAUCUCCCGAAUUUUGGGGCUCCAUCACUUUGGGUGAAAACCCCCAUAUUUUGGGUCAUAUUUUGGGUCACCCCCCCCCCCCCCCACGAUUUUUGGGCUCCUCUCCUCAAUCCCGGAGUGAAUUCACACCAUUUUGGGUUAAAAUUUCCCCGUUUUGGGGUAUUUUGGGGCAAAUUUCUGGAAUUUUAGGGGGAAUUCCCAGCGUUUUGGGGUGAAUCUUCCCCAUUUUGGGGCUCUCCUGAAAUUUGGGGUGAAUCCUCACGAUUUCGGUUCCCACGCCGUUUUUGGGGCAAAUUCCCCCGAUUUUGGGUUCCUUGCUUCAGAGAAACUGUCCCAAAUUUAAGGGCUCUUCCCCGUUUUGGGGUGAAAUCCGGGCAUUUUGGUUCCCACAAUUUUGGGGUCAAUUCCUACGAUUUUGGGGCUCUCCAAAAGCUCUGGGGUGAAUCUGCCAUUUUAGGGAUCCCCCUCCCCCAUUUCCAGACCUGCCAACCCCACUUCCGGCCUUUAUUGCCCCAUUUCCGGCCCCAUCCACCCCACUUCCGGCCUUUUUUUUUUUUACCCCCCCCCCAUUUCCGGCCCCACCCACCCCACUUUCUGCCUUUAUUGUCCCAUUUCCGGCCCCACCCAUCCCACUUCCGGCCUUUAUUGCCCCAUUUCCGGCCCCAUCCACCCCAC